rnacentral:tRNA from 1 species
GGGGAUGCAACUCAAUAGUAGAGUACUUGCCUAGCAUGCAUGAGGCCCUGGGGUCAAUCCCCAGUACCACUG